ACAUAAGACCAUAGGGUGUGGAAAAUAGGGCUUCCCGUCCGCUCAGCCGUACUCAAGCCACACGCCGGUGAGUUAGUAGUUGGGUGGGUGACCACCAGCGAAUCCUCACUUUUGUAUGUU
rfam:Penicillium polonicum strain IBT 4502 PENPOL_contig002, whole genome shotgun sequence.